AGCAGGCCUUGAUCGGUUGUACCAGCGGCAAUGGCUGCAUCGGACUGAGUGCUGAUGUGACUUGCCAGUGUGAUGGAUAUGGACGGUGCAUGAAAGGAACGCUCGAGAUCGACCCCUGGUUACAAUUUGCGCUUAAGACACAACGAGAAAUUCAGAUGGACAUCCCUGUUGAUCAAAUGCAAAUAUUUGAUGCACAUAACGCAUUCAAUAAUAGGGCAUAUGGACCCGUCUAUGGAGGUAAA